rnacentral:rRNA from 1 species
AUCCUGAGUACGACGGAGCACGUGAAAUUCCGUCGGAAUCUGGGAGGACCAUCUCCUAAGGCUAAAUACUCUCUAGUGACCGAUAGUGAACCAGUACCGUGAGGGAAAGGUGAAAAGCACCCCGGAAGGGGAGUGAAAUAGAACCUGAAACCGUGUGCUUACAAGUAGUCAGAGCCCGUUAAUGGGUGAUGGCGUGCCUUUUGUAGAAUGAACCGGCGAGUUACGAUUUGAUGCAAGGUUAAGCAGUAAAUGUGGAGCCGUAGCGAAAGCGAGUCUGAAUAGGGCGUUUAGUAUUUGGUCGUAGACCCGAAACCAGGUGAUCUACCCUUGGUCAGGUUGAAGUUCAGGUAACACUGAAUGGAGGACCGAACCGACUUACGUUGAAAAGUGAGCGGAUGAACUGAGGGUAGCGGAGAAAUUCCAAUCGAACCUGGAGAUAGCUGGUUCUCUCCGAAAUAGCUUUAGGGCUAGCCUCAAGUGAUGAUUAUUGGAGGUAGAGCACUGUUUGGACGAGGGGCCCCUCUCGGGUUACCGAAUUCAGACAAACUCCGAAUGCCAAUUAAUUUAACUUGGGAGUCAGAACAUGGGUGAUAAGGUCCGUGUUCGAAAGGGAAACAGCCCAGACCACCAGCUAAGGUCCCAAAAUAUAUGUUAAGUGGAAAAGGAUGUGGCGUUGCCCAGACAACUAGGAUGUUGGCUUAGAAGCAGCCAUCAUUUAAAGAGUGCGUAAUAGCUCACUAGUCGAGUGACACUGCGCCGAAAAUGUACCGGGGCUAAACAUAUUACCGAAGCUGUGGAUUGUCCUUUGGACAAUGGUAGGAGAGCGUUCUAAGGGCGUUGAAGCAUGAUCGUAAGGACAUGUGGAGCGCUUAGAAGUGAGAAUGCCGGUGUGAGUAGCGAAAGACGGGUGAGAAUCCCGUCCACCGAUUGACUAAGGUUUCCAGAGGAAGGCUCGUCCGCUCUGGGUUAGUCGGGUCCUAAGCUGAGGCCGACAGGCGUAGGCGAUGGAUAACAGGUUGAUAUUCCUGUACCACCUAUAAUCGUUUUAAUCGAUGGGGGGACGCAGUAGGAUAGGCGAAGCGUGCGAUUGGAUUGCACGUCUAAGCAGUAAGGCUGAGUAUUAGGCAAAUCCGGUACUCGUUAAGGCUGAGCUGUGAUGGGGAGAAGACAUUGAGUCUUCGAGUCGUUGAUUUCACACUGCCGAGAAAAGCCUCUAGAUAGAAAAUAGGUGCCCGUACCGCAAACCGACACAGGUAGUCAAGAUGAGAAUUCUAAGGUGAGCGAGCGAACUCUCGUUAAGGAACUCGGCAAAAUGACCCCGUAACUUCGGGAGAAGGGGUGCUCUUUAGGGUUAACGCCCAGAAGAGCCGCAGUGAAUAGGCCCAAGCGACUGUUUAUCAAAAACACAGGUCUCUGCUAAACCGUAAGGUGAUGUAUAGGGGCUGACGCCUGCCCGGUGCUGGAAGGUUAAGAGGAGUGGUUAGCUUCUGCGAAGCUACGAAUCGAAGCCCCAGUAAACGGCGGCCGUAACUAUAACGGUCCUAAGGUAGCGAAAUUCCUUGUCGGGUAAGUUCCGACCCGCACGAAAGGCGUAACGAUUUGGGCACUGUCUCAACGAGAGACUCGGUGAAAUCAUAGUACCUGUGAAGAUGCAGGUUACCCGCGACAGGAC